AAAACUCUGGAACAUUCGAUUUAUUACUACCCACUCGUUCAACUAACUCUCAUCAUAAACUUUAAAAAACUAGACCUUGAAGAAAAUUAGGAUAACAGUACAUAUUUUGUAGAUACAUACAGCAGUCCUUCAUCGAGCUGGUUCAUGGGCUUCUGGUCGGUGGCACAUUUCAGUUGCUCGAUUGACGUAGUUCUGGGCGAACAAAAUCAGCAUCAGCUGGAACAGAAAUGUCAACAGUAGGUCUCAACUGUGCGCAUACUUCAAUUGCUCCAUGAACUGGGUCAGAUAGGAAGUUGCUGAUAAGGUCUUGGUUAAUGGCUGAACCAUUGUCAAUGGCAACCAGGGCUUGUUGGGUGAGAAUGUAGUCAAAGCGCGGAGCCCACUUCCUAGAUCCCAAUCGUGCGGUUGUGGAACAGUUGUCAACCAUGAAAGACACACCACGAGCAUGCAUGAACGGGUUCAAAGAGUCGACUGAUUCGAUCACACUUUCGUUGAUGAUCUCAGAGUAGGAGUGGCCCUUUUUCCUCAGAAUCUCGAUCUGUGCCAUCAUCAAUGCCACAUAUACACCAGCGGUGAAAGGAUACAACGGGCCAAGGUCACCUGCAGGACGUGAUUGUCGGACACGUUCACCGACUUUCCACAUCCGGGUCUGGUCAAUGUUCCCCAUUGGGAAAGCUGGGAGACCCUCCUUUUCAUAAAAUCGUCGGCCAGCAAGCACAACACUGCGGAUCUCACUUCCACUGGCAACAUCUUCAUAACAUUCAUAGAGAAUAUCCAUACAGGGGUAAUAUGAUGCACUAUAUGCUCUCUCAAAUUCCUUUUUCUCAUCAGGAGAGAAGGAAUUGUACACUGCCAACAUUCCCUUAGUGGAAAUGGUCUUUGAUAUAAUUCCUGUUAUGCUUUCAACAGUGUUCUUGUAAGCCAGGUCUUCAGCCAUUCCAUUUUCAGUGUACCUUCUGAACAAGGACUCCACAAUUCCAUGAACAGCACCAAGUAGAAUACCUCGCUCGCCAAAGAUGUCACUCCUGUAUUCUUGCUCUAGAGUUGUAGCAAAUGUGAAGGGAGAGCCAAGGGCAACAGACCAACCCAAUGCAACAUCUGUGGCUCUGCCAUCAACAUCCUGGUGAACUGCAAAACUAGAAUUAAUUCCA
rnacentral:misc_RNA from 1 species